AUGGUAAAACCAAGGUUGAGCCUUGCUGAAGGAGUUUUAUUCAAAGCAAACUAUCAAGGGGUUCCCAUUAUAACCCAACCGUGUAAGGAACACAAAAUCCGGGAACAUAACACCGAUAUGAAGGAAACUAGGGCGGCAAGAGUGGAACAAAACACCAGGCGUAAGGCCGAUCCUUCCACCCUUUACCAAGUAUAUAGAUGCAUUAAUAUAAAUAAGAGAUAUUGUGAUAUCCCAACAAAUAUCCAUGUUCCAACAAGGAACAAACUCCAAUCUUCACCUGCAACUAACAACGCUAUAAGAGGGGUUGAGCAAAGCGGUAACAUAGGCAAACAACGGUUUGCUAGGACAAGGUGGUUAGAGGCUUGGCUCAAUAAUAUGGGAGGCAUGAUAAGCAAGUGGUAG
rnacentral:rRNA from 1 species